AUUUAAGUAGUUUAUAUACAAAAUGCAGGUUUGUGAUUCCUGAGAAGUUUACUUGACCUUAGAUU
rnacentral:tRNA from 1 species